rnacentral:rRNA from 1 species
GACGAACGCUGGCGGCGUGCCUAAUACAUGCAAGUAGAACGCUGAAGAGAGGAGCUUGCUCUUCUUGGAUGAGUUGCGAACGGGUGAGUAACGCGUAGGUAACCUGCCUUGUAGCGGGGGAUAACUAUUGGAAACGAUAGCUAAUACCGCAUAACAAUGGAUGACACAUGUCAUUUAUUUGAAAGGGGCAAUUGCUCCACUACAAGAUGGACCUGCGUUGUAUUAGCUAGUAGGUGAGGUAACGGCUCACCUAGGCGACGAUACAUAGCCGACCUGAGAGGGUGAUCGGCCACACUGGGACUGAGACACGGCCCAGACUCCUACGGGAGGCAGCAGUAGGGAAUCGUCGGCAAUGGGGGCAACCCUGACCGAGCAACGCCGCGUGAGGGAAGAAGGGUUUCGGAUCGUAAAGCUCUGUUGUAAGUCAAGAACGAGUGUGAGAGUGGAAAGUUCACACUGUGACGGUAGCUUACCAGAAAGGGACGGCUAACUACGUG